CUGGUUGUUCUACCAAUCUUCUUAAACUUUAUACACUGUUGUAAUUGUCAACUGCUAACUUUUGACAUCUUCACCUGCUAACUUUUGACAUGUUAUUUUGCCUAUGGGCAAAUAUAUGUCAAAACUUAGCAGUUAAUGAUUACAAUGGUGUAUAAAGUUUAAGAAGAUUGGUAGAACAACCCUU
rnacentral:sRNA from 1 species